ensembl:lncRNA LINC02577 long intergenic non-protein coding RNA 2577
GGUUUUGGUGGGUUUUGGACAGCUUCUUUACGCAUGCUGUUUUAUCAGCAAGGUCUUUGUGACCUGUAUCUUGUGCCGACCUCCUAUCUCAUCCUGUGACUAGGAAUGCCUUAACCUCCUGGAAUGCAGCUCACAUGCCAGAAACUAUACAAUCCACCCCCUCUGAAGGAGUUUGUUCAUUUAAAAAAAAAAAAAGGAUCACAGUCUGGAAGUCUGCUCACAGUCUCAAGGUUGGCAUAUCCCCUAGAGCCCCCAGACUCCUCAUCCCAUGGAGACCAACAUGGCCAGGGGAGGGCCAGAGCAGGGCCUUCUAAAUCACAGACCCCAGGGCAGGAGCCCCUCCGGUCUGGAUCUAAGGAUGGUAUUUUCAACAAUUCCUAAAUUUUUAUCCUAGGCUCUCCAAAUGGGAGUCUAAAGGUCUCAAAACAUGGUCCAGAAGAAGUAUGCAAAAAUGUAAAUUCCUAGGCCCCAACCCAGACCUAUGAAUCAGAUGAUCUGUAUGGGGGUUCAAGGAAUCUAUAUUAUUAAACAAUCUUCCUAAAUGACUUGUAUUCAUACUAAAGCUUGAGAAUUGCUAUCAAACAGCUAGAAGUUGGAGUGAAGGGUCCUGCCUUUCCCAUGAAAUUCAUCAACUCUAUGCCCUCAAAAGCUGGGCUCUUGGAUGAGCUGCUCUCCAUUCUAGAGACAUUACCAGCUAGGUAGCCUGCUGGUCCUCAGGAAGUUAAGCCCAGACUCUUCAGCACAGAAUCAGAUAAACACUGAUUACAUUGUACUCUACAGUUCUGAGAACACCAUUACUUAAUUCCCGGCAAGUUGCAAUGUAAUUGAGUAGGUUGUAGUUUUUUGGGUUUGGGGUUUUUUUGUUUUUUAAAUAUAUCAGGCGUAGUUAGCCAGCUUCCUAGAAACACCAUGAUCUCUUGGUGAAAAUUCCAGAAAUAUGCAUCACUUCCUAAUUAAAGUAGGGAAUUUUUAAAAAUUAUUAAACCACAUGCUUUCUAAUUCCUAUUGCCCUUUCUUUUCACCCACCAUUCAGCAGUCAGCAGACACUUUCUGGGUACAACAGGGUAGGACCAUCCAGGCAGAACAAAAGCCAUUGAUCAUGAACUACAGAGGAGAGUUUGGUAAAUGGACACCAGAAACCAUGGCCUACAGGGGCCUGGUUUUCUCCCAUCUAAAUACUAACUAGGCCCAACGCUAGUUGGGCUUAGCUUCCUAGAUCAGAUGAAAUUGGGCACAUUUAGGGUUGGGGGUAUGGCUCUCUAUUGUAAGUAGCAAGAGUUUGAGAGAAGAAAAAAGGGAUUUUCUUUUUUUUUUCUUUUAAAUUUUAGAGCAUUAACUUUAAACAUCAAGAUCCAAACCCCAAGGAUUCAGAGAAUCUUGUACUAUAAACCAUUUGUAUUAGUCAGGGUUCUCCAGAGAAACAGAACCCAUAGGAGGUAUAGAGAUAGAGAAAUAUGGAAUUGGCUCCCAUGAUUAUGGAGGCUGAGAAGUCCCUCAAUCUGCUGUCUGUGAGCUGGAGACCUAGGAAAGCUUAGCUGGUGGUACAAACCAGCCCAAGUGCAAAGGCCCAAGAACUAAGAGCACCAUUGUCAGAGAGCAGGAAAAGACAGAUGUCCCAGCUCAAAAAGAGAGAGCAAAUUCACCUUCCUUCCACCAUUUUAUUCCGUCCUGUUCCAUUCCUCAACAGGUUGGAUGAUGAGGGAGAUCUUUAUCCAUCUCAAGUUUUUUGUGCAAAUAUGGAAUACAAAUGAAAAAUACUUAAAGCACAUCAUCAUUGAUUUCCAACUUAGACUAGUUUAACUUCCCUUUUUCUUCUAUCCUGUCAGUUCCUUGAGGGAUCCUCUCUCCUUGUUCAUCUCUGCAUCUCUAGUAAUUAGCACAGUGCCAGGCACAUGGUAAUAUGGCUAAAACAGUGGAUUAUUGGUCUCCAACAUAAUUAAGCCCAUCCAAAAGAAAAA